rnacentral:lncRNA from 1 species
CCUGUUGUGACGUCACGGCGGCGCGCCGGCCUCAGGAGAGGACCCCUAUGCGACCGCGUCCCUUCGGUCCUUGAGCCUGGUCCUUGAGCCUGAGUCCAGCGCGCAGCGAUGGCCUUGAGGCUGCUGAGACUAGUCCCCGCGUCCGCGUCCGCGCGCGGCCUGGCGGGGGGCGCCCCGCGCGUGGUGAGGCGACGGGGCAGUGGGUAGCCCGGCGGGACAGUGGGCGGGCCGGCGGGCCGGGUCGGGUCUCUGCGCGGCGGCUCCGGGACCGCUCUCCGGCGGGGUCCUGCUGCCGGCGGCGUCCUCCGUGGCGGUCCCCAGCGCGGCCAGCUUGGUCGCAGCCGCCGGCGGAGCGCCGCGGCAGACGCACGGCCCGGAGGCGGCGGCUCGCCGGGUCCUGAGCUCACCAGCAGCUUUGCCGGGGGCCUUGGGAAGGGUCAGGCCCUGGGCGGGGCGCCGGGCCCGGGGCCGUCACGAAGAGGACCGCUGGGUGAGAUUCGGAAGCACGAGGGAAACUUCCCACUGUGGGGGUCAGGGAGGUGACCUCGCACGUGCAGAGGACAGGGGCAAAGGAACCGUGGCUGCAGACGCAGGAAACCUUUGGUGGACUUUGGGUGCCGGAGGCUCUGGGCCAUGGCUUUAAAGGGGCUUGGCCGCGAGCUGAGGGAUUGAGCGUGAACAGAGAGGGUGCCGGUCUGAUCUGGAGGAGAGAGGCGCUGGCUGUCCUGCUGUUGUGGGCCUGUGAGGGGGAGCCAGACGCCCAGAGAGCCCGGACCCUCACUGUAACCUGGGCCCGGUGCCCAGCUGUGGCGGCGCGUUCUCUGGGGCGCUUCAGAUUGAACACGGUGUAGGGUAUCCUCAGUGGUCAGGAGGACGCGUGCAAGGGGAAAAGUAGGUCUGUGUUGGACUGGAGGGACAAUUAAAGGAAUCGAAAACGGUUCAUGAAAAGUCGGUUAUUUGUGUUAUUCUGGGCAGCAGGAGAAUGGAGUCAAGGAUGCUUGUCAACCUAGUCUCCUGUGCGUGGACCGUAGGUGGCCAGGUCUUUGCUUUAGAGGCAUUACUCCAGUGAACGUCUUUGAUGUAUAUAGCCCUCUUCCCAUUUUGCUGCUGUGAAUGUGUGUCUAUGUGUAACUUACAAAAUAGUGCAUUCUUUCUUUUAAUUAACUAAAGCUAGGCUUUAUUCAGACUUCAUUAGUUUUUCCCCAGUGUCCAUUUUCUGUCCCAAGAUCCCAUCCAGUGUGUCCUGUAACAUCUGUUGUGUCCUCGGUUGUGUGGAUUUCUCAGACUCUUGUUUCUGGUAACCUUGAUGGUUCUGAGAAGUACUAAGCAGGUGUUUGAUUCUCAGAAACCUGGAGGGUUUGUCUUGGUUGAACUUGGCUGGGAAGAGGACUGCAGAGGUGAAGGGCUACUGGCGUCUCACCAGCACACUAGGAAUAUGACUGUUGGUUGAUGUUGAGGUAGGUCAACUGACUGCUGUGCUGAGGCUGAUUCUCCACUGUGAGGCUGUUCUCCCCCUGCACCCUGUGUUCUUAGGAGGGAGCCCCUUUGUGCCAUGCUUAUGGAGCAGGGUUGUGCUCCUUCCCCUGUAGAGUGUCAAGGUUGGCAAUUUGGACCUCUCCUCCCUGGGUGUGUGAGGAAUCAUGGGUAGUCACUGCUGCAUGUGUUGCCCACGUUGUCGUGGCUGUGUCCCUAUUGGUUUCUUGUUCCUGUGACUUACCGGGUUGUAUGAAUACUGCCUGACUUUUUGACACUACCUUUUUUGCAUAUCAAAAGAUGUGUAGAUGGCAGGUAAGCACAAGAAAAGAUGGCCAAGGCAUCUGUCAUCUGGGAAUCACAAGUGAAAGGACAAAGGAGACAAAAGCAUACAUUUAAUAGAGUGGUAAAAAGCCAAGUGGCUGAAGCCGGAGCAGCUGGCAGGACUGGCGCAAGGCAGGAAUGCCUUCACAGCCUCUGGGUAGUUGCUGUGCCUUCUUUUGCAACCUGUGUUCCCCCCCCCCCCCAAUCCUUCAGUAUUCAAGUAAAUCAAGUGUGAAAAACAUCUGUUUUAUGUAAAUUUUUUUUUGUGUUUGUGGUACUGGGGAUUGGACUUGGGGGGCAUGUUCUCACUGAGCUACAUCUCCAGCCCUUUCCUUAUUGAGACAGGGUCUCACUAAGUUGGCCUCAAAUUUGUAAUCCUCCUGCCUCAGCCUCCUGAGUAGCAGUGGCACACCCAGCUAUUCUUAAUAUUUUAAAUUCUCCUGUAUUCUUUUUUAUAAUAAAGUAUUUUAUUAUUUAAUUAAGUAAGUGGUUAAUAUUUUGUGGUAAGGGUAUACCUUAAAAUUUUAAGCUCCUCCUCUGUUGUUGGAUAAUUGCAUUUGCCAUUAUGAACAAUAUUUCAUCAAGCAUCCUUAUAGGGGAUUCUUUGCACAGAUGAGUGUCCCCUUAGGACAGGUUUCUGGUGCUAGGCUCAGUAGCCUAGAUUUAAGCACCAUUAGCUGUUUAUGAGGGAACUCAUUGUCUUGUCCUAAAAAAUCAAGUAUUUCCUGUUUUGAUGCAUGAAAAAGUGUUUUCUCCUUUGUUGUUGUCUCUUCCAGACAUUUGAAUGUGUGGUUAUCUGCAUACCUAACACUUUAAAAAUGAGCUGUGUAGCUGGGCAUGGUGGACAUAUCUGUAGUCUCGCUGACUCAAGGCUGAGGCAGGAGGAUCACAAGUACAAGGCCAGCCUGGGCAACUUAGUGAGACCUGUCUCAAAAAAUAAGAAGGGCUGGGGGUGCAGCUCAGUAGUAAAGCGAUCCCUGGGCCGAAUCUCUAGUGCCAAAAGGAGCAAGCUGCGAGGUCACCCUUCAUAUGUCUUACUGAUGUGUAGAAUGUCCUUGUACCAAGGCACAUGCUGCUUGGUAUUUUUAUUUGGCGGGAGAUUAUUUUGGCUUCAGUGUGGAGGGCAGAUGGAAGACGCUGGAGACGGCAGGUGAGGCGUCUCACCCUGUGCAUGAGAGCCAUGAGGAUGUCUGCAGAAUCAGGGCAGCAGGGGAGCAAAGUGACACUUUGGCCAGAGGUGGAGGGUCAGGAGUCAGAGUGGUGGUGGGGCUGGAGGAAGGAGGAGGGGAGCUGUUAGGUAGGGGACGCGGCCUGUUGUGAGUGAGAGCAGAUUUAUGGAUUGGGGUUGGAAGUUGUGCUUUGGUUUAGGACUGCUAGCUCACAGGUGUAGGGGACCAGCUGCAGCUUGGGAUGAGCCCAGAGAUGCUUUCCUGGAAAGAGGAGAUGCCCUCUCUGUCUCCCCAGCCGCUUUCUUCCUGCCUUUCUCCCUCCCGCCUGCCAGCCUUCUGCCUUCCAUUUUCAUGGAACAUGGCAAGCAUACUGCAGGCUCCAUUCUGGCCCUGUGCCCCUGGGGUGAGGAGGGUGGGUGUAGGCAGGGCCUGUGCAGCCCUGGGGUAAGGAGGGUGGGUGUAGGCAGACCCUGUGUGCCCUGAUGUGAGGAGGGUGUAGGCAGGGCCUGUGCAGCCCUGGGGUGAGGAGGGUGUAAGCAGGCCCUGUGCGCCCUGGGGUGAGGAGGGUGGGUGUAGGCAGGGCCUGUGCAGCCCUGGGGUAAGGAGGGUGGGUGUAGGCAGACCCUGUGCACCUGGGGUGAGCAGGGUGGGUGUAGGCAGGGCCUGUGCACCUGGGGUGAGGAGGGUGGGUGCAGGCAGACCCUGUGCACCUGGGGUGAGGAGGGUGGGUGUAGGCAGGCCCUGUGCACUCUGGGAUGAGGAGGGUGCCGGUGCUGGCAUUUUUGCCGUUGAUGGGUUUUUGGUGCUGUUAGGUUACUGAUGCCUGCAGUGCUGAAGGGUCACAUGCUGUGGGACGGCGUGUCUUCCAGGGACUGCUUCACACCAGUGCACAGUGCGAGCUGCGGUAUGGGGCUUUGGCAUUCCUGCUUGGUGAAAGGACAACCAAGAAGCUGACGGAGUCCAGCAGAGUGAUCACUGUGGAUGGCAACAUCUGUUCUGGAAAAGGCACACUGGCCAAGGCAAUAGCAGAGAAACUAGGUAUGAGCCACUGCCAUGCGCAGCGGGAUUCCCAGACACAGCUGUGGCCUCCUGCUGACCUCACUGUACUAUCCAGGGGUGGCCCUGGUCCAAGGGAGGUCUUUUACAUUUACAUUUGGUAUGUUUGGAGAAUCAUAGUGUCUCCUGUCCAUGCCGGUUACCAGCUGGAGCUGGACUUGCCUGGGCAGUGCAGGCAACACGUGUACUGUGAGCUGUCCUGUGGGCUCUGUGAUGGCCUCUGCUGCAGAGCUGUGGUUGUUACUCCGACUCACACUGGGUGGAUUGGGAGGUAAGCCAGUGUCACACAGCCGGUCAUUAGAACCCGUGUCCAGUUUUCCACGGUGCCUUCACUGGCAUCCAGUGGCAGCUGCCUGUGUGCACAGAGGACUCCUGUUAGGGGGGGUCAUUCUCUCAGGAGGGCUCUGCCUAUGGGCACAGUAUGGCUGUUCCGCCCUGAUGCGCUCUGGGCGUGUUGUCACCAGCGUCUCUGUCCCCCAGGAUGCACAGCGGAACUGGGGCUGGUUGGCUCCUCAGGUGGCUUCAGACCGGGUUGUGUGUCCUGCAGUCCCCACGAUCCCCCUGCGGGAGUGGGGGUCAGUCGCGCUUCACCAGUACUUCUCCCUCAGGCAUGAAGCACUUUCCUGAAGCAGGGAUCCACUACGCAGACAGCACCACAGGGGACGGGCGGCCCCUGGACGUGGAGUUCAGUGGCAACUGUAGCUUGGAGAAGUUCUAUGACGACCCGAAAAGCAACGAUGGCAACAGCUACCGCCUGCAGUCCUGGCUGUACGCCAGCCGCCUCCUGCAGUACGCAGACGCCCUGGAGCACCUGUUGAGUACAGGUGGGCCGCCCUUCUCAGUCCUCUUUGGGGUCCAGCCCUUGAAAUCCCAUCACUAGUGCUUUUCUGUACAGGUGCUGGGGCAAGUCGUGUCUUUCCAGUAAGAGUAGGAAUGUCUUGAGGUCCCGUUUCUGAUGCUCCAGGGUGAGGUGGACGCACUUCCCUGUGCACUGCAGUGAGCUUCACGCCACAGUGGUGGAGGGCAGUGGGGACACAGAGGCCGCUGGGAGGAAGUGGAGUCACAGUUGGGAAGAGGGGGCUUGAGGGAAGCAGAAGCACAGCGGCCAGCACCGGGUGGUUCUGCGGGGCUGGAGCUGGCUGAUCCACACAGAGCCCGGGGGAAGUUAGAACUGGGGGGCAGGCAGAACACACAGGUGGGGCUGUACAGUCAGGCAGGCAGAGCCCAGGUGCGUGUUGCUCCUACGAACGUGUGUGUUGUGCAGCCUACCUUUUAGGCAUCUCUACCAGGAUGGUGCCCAACUCUCACUGCUGGGCAGUAGCUUGGAUGUGACACUGGUGUUUGGGCCACUCCACUUUCAUUUUGAAGCACACUUCACCCUAUUUUCUGACUACCCAUUUCUUAAAAUUAAAGUCUUUUACUUGUUGAGUGGAAACUGGCCUGUUUCCUUGUGUGCUGUGUUCAUCUUUACGUUGAACACGAAUGCAAGGCCCGUCCAGGAGCCUGGGUUCCACAGGGAGGAGGCUUCUGAAUGAGCAGGUGGGUGGUGACCAGAGGCGGAGGCAGGGUGCCAGGGAGUGAGGGCGUGGAGGGCAGAGGCUCUACAGAAGGGCCAGGGCGCUGGGGCUCUGCUCUUCUAGAGGGGAAGGGGAGGGAGGGCUCUGUCCAGUCCCAGCAGGGCUGAUUGCAAGGGCCUUGUGCCUUGAGCAGUGUGAGUGACCCUUGGGACCAUUGUGACAGUGUGGCAGCAGUGAGGCUGAGAGUCAGGAGAGGGGGCGUCAAAGAAGUAGCCUAGCUGAGAUGGCCGGGUCUUGAGGGCCACGGCAGAGACCGGGUUUUCCUGAGGGAGAGAGGAGGCCAGUGGGAGGGUUGGUGCAGGAAUGAUCCAUGUGGCAGGUGGAAGUGUCCCUCUGCUGUCGGGGACCGGGCGAGGCAGGAUCAGGAAGUGCCAGCAGAGGCGGUGCACAGUGAUUGUGUUUGGUGGUGUUUGGAGAAUGCUGAGACGGCUGGGAUGAGUGGGGUGUGGGUGUGAGGGAGGGACUUGGGACAGCAGCAGAUUGCUGGGCACAGCGAGGUGCAAGGGCUUGGUUAGAAACAGACUCCCCAUGUUUGUGGGACGCCUCUGGGAUGGCUGAUGGAGUGUCCGUGGAGAUGAAAGGUCACUGGAACGGAACGGAGGAGUUUUUGAAAAUGUUUUUUUUCUUAUGAAUUUGACUUUGGUCCUUUGACUACAUUGGCUUGGAAAUGGAAUUGUGUUUUUUUCCCCAUUUCUAAAAUGACCUGACGGUGGGUAGGACUUCCUGCCUGCCUGCCGUCUGAGUCCCGCUGCCCUGUUCUCCACAGGACAAGGCGUGGUCCUGGAGCGCUCCAUCUUCAGCGACUUUGUCUUCCUGGAGGCCAUGUACAACCAGGGCUUCAUCCGCAAGCAGUGUGAGUCCCAGCCCCCCUCCCUGGCAUGUGCGGGCUCUGCCGUGGCUGCCCUGGGCCCGCAGCGCCUUCGGGGAAAGGCCGCGGCCUAGCCUGAUGCCGCUGUGGAAUGCGCCUCACAGAUGGGAGCGACUGAGCUGCCCACCCCCUUCCUCCUGUGGAGUCCCGGGCACUUGAGAGCACACAGC